rnacentral:rRNA from 1 species
UAGGGAAUCUUCGGCAAUGGGGGGAACCCUGACCGAGCAACGCCGCUUGAGUGAAGAAGGUUUUCGGUUCGUAAAGCUCUGUUGUUAAGGAAGAAUGAGUGUGAGAAUGGAAAGUUCAUACUGUGCCGGUACUUAACCAGAAAGGGACGGCGAACUACGUCCCACCAGCCCCGGUAAUACGUAGGCCCCGAGCGUUGUCCGGAUUUAUUGGGCGUAAAGCGAGCGCAGCCGGUUAGAUAAGUCUGAAGUGAAAGGCAGUGGCUCAACCAUUGUAGGCUUUGGAAACUGUUUAACUUGAGUGCAGAAGGGGAGAGUGGAAUUCCAUGUGUAGCGGUGAAAUGCGUAGAUAUAUGGAGGAACACCGGUGGCGAAAGCGGCUCUCUGGUCUGUAACUGACGCAGAGGCUCGAAAGCGUGGGGAGCGAACAGG